rnacentral:rRNA from 1 species
GAUGAACGCUGGCGGCGUGCCUAAUACAUGCAAGUCGAGCGAACAGAUAAGGAGCUUGCUCCUUUGACGUUAGCGGCGAACGGGUGAGUAACACGUGGAUAACCUACCUAUAAGACUGGGAUAACUUCGGGAAACCGGAGCUAAUACCGGAUAACAUAUUGAACCGCAUGGUUCAAUAGUGAAAGGCGGCUUUGCUGUCACUUAUAGAUGGAUCCGCGCCGUAUUAGCUAGUUGGUAAGGUAACGGCUUACCAAGGCAACGAUACGUAGCCGACCUGAGAGGGUGAUCGGCCACACUGGAGCUGAGACACGGACCAGACUACUACGGGAGGCAGCAGUAGGGAAUGUUCCGCAAUGGGCGAAAGCCUGACGGAGCAACGCCGCGUGAGUGAUGAAGGUCUUCGGAUCGUAAAACUCUGUUAUCAGGGAAGAACAAAUGUGUAAGUAACUGUGCACAUCUUGACGGUACCUGAUCAGAAAGCCACGGCUAACUACGUG